CAGUGUAGUUGAAUUGAUAAGGAGUCACUUUGGGGGAAAAGUUUCAAUCUCCACCCCGCCACUUAUACCAGAAUUUCCUGUUCCAUCUCAUGGUGAACCACGCUUUUCAUGUUUUGUUGAAUCUGAAGCUGGUGGGGUACAAAUUGAAAGAUCCAUUGAUUUAAGAUCCUAAUGACUAUUUGUUCAAGCUCUUGCGUAUUGGAGAUUCUGGUGUUGGCAAAUCACGUCUUCUUUUGAGAUUUGCGGUAAGCCUGCGGAGGGGCUGGGGCUGACAAUAUACAUCGACUCCCAAGGUGGAUGAGUGCAAGUCAGCACAUGGGUGGAACUUCCUGACAAUAUACCACAGCUUAUGGUUGGGCCCUGGCCCAUCUGAGAUAGCACCCAUCUCGAAGAUCAUCUGAAAUCAUCGUCUCCUGAUAUGUGCCAAUUGACUGGCCUAUGGUACUUAUAAGUGGAUACUAAUGGAACCUGCAUCAAUGGCUAUCUGGUACUUAUUAAGUGGAUACUAAUGAUAUUCUAUUUCAGCCUGCCACCACUAAUGGUAAGCAACAAGACUCUCUGCUAAAAUUUUCCCUUUACAUUUGGUUUGUCAUGUUGAGUUGUGCUUCCAUUCUAUGGAUUUCUCCUCAUGGUGUUCAUUUCCUCAUGCUUGCAGAUAGGAUCCACAGCAAAAUGGGUGAAGGUUAGUUUCUGCAACUAAAUAAUCUGAAAACCUCCCCUUGUCUACUUGCAUGGUACUUUCAGCAGUGUGCGCCUUUAGAAGCACAGCUUGUAACCAGUUUGGCUGCCUGAUUGGUAGUUCCAAAUGCAAGAUCAUGCAUCUGGAGAAUGCUGUGCCCCCAAGCUGGUGAGUUGGCCAAAAAUGUUUCAAAAAUGAUUGAUUCUCAUUUUGCAGAGAAGAUUGAUAUGUCAGAAGUGUAGGUAAUUAACCAUCUCAUAAUGGGAGGAUUGCCACCUCAUGUUGGUUUGCACAAGUUCUUCAAUUCACGUGCAUGAAAUUUCUAUGUAAUUCUGCAGGAUAAGUUCUUAGUGGUGAUCACAAAAGCAUCGAUUCCAUUAGUACAUGGUCUAUAAACUAAAUUUGAUACUGAAAUGGUUGCAAUGACAAGUGUUCCAUGGGGUACUCUUAAAAGUGUUGGUGACCAAUCAGAGUACGGUUCCACUCUCCUAUUUUGUUUGAUGCAUCAUUUGAGGAUCAAAUGAAAGAAAUGUCAUUCUUUUUGUUUGAACCAGCGGUGGUACAUAUGGAUGCCAUCUUUCAGCAGUAUAUGCUAGCUUGUCUUCCGUUUCUUGUGUA